rnacentral:rRNA from 1 species
UACGUAGGGACCGAGCGUUGUCCGGAAUCAUUGGGCGUAAAGAGCGUGUAGGCGGCCACUUAAGUCCUGCGUGAAAUCUUGCGGCUCAACCGCAAGCGGUCGUGGGAAACUGGGUGGCUAGAGUGCGGGAGAGGAGAGUGGAAUUCCUGGUGUAGCGGUGGAAUGCGCAGAUAUCAGGAAGAACACCCGUGCGAAGGCGGCUCUCGUGGAACGCAACUGACGCUGAGACGCGAAAGCGUGG